CCUACGGGAGGCAGCAGUGAGGAAUAUUGGUCAAUGGGAGAGAUCCUGAACCAGCCAAGCCGCGUGAGGGAAGACGGCCCUCUGGGUUGUAAACCUCUUUUGUCGGAGAACAAAACCCGGGACGUGUCCCGGAAUGCGUGUCUACGAAGAAAAAGCAUCGGCUAACUCCGUGCCAGCAGCCGCGGUAAUACGGAGGAGGCGAGCGUUAUCCGGAUUUAUUGGGUUAAAGGGGUGCGUAGGCGGUGCGUUAAGUCAGCGGUAAAAGUGCGGGGCUCAACCCCGUCGAGCCGUUGAAACUGGCAGACUUGAGUUGGCGAGAAGUACGCGGAAUGCGCGGUGUAGCGGUGAAAUGCAUAGAUAUCGCGCAGAACUCCGAUUGCGAAGGCAGCGUACCGGCGCCAGACUGAUGCUGAGGCACGAAAGCGUGGGGAUCGAACAGGAUUAGAUACCCCUGUAGUC
rnacentral:rRNA from 1 species